UUGGCUCAGAAUGAAUAGCAGUGCCUGUAGGACUUUUCUCGCUUAGUUUAGCAUUAAAACAAUCAGAUUUCUCACUCAGAGAAUUUCCUACCAACUUCAGUCCAGCUUGUGCUUCAACAAGUGAACUUGUCUUGGAUGGAUUACCCUGAAAUCAAAUGUGGCUUGAAUAUUAGAGUUCCUACCAUAUAGCAAAAAUAUAGAGUACUAAAGGACUACCAAGAACAAUAGAACAAUAAUUUUAAAAAAUACAAUCUUUUUUUGCAAAAAAAUUUAGAGAAUAAAAAUAACUUCACUUAUAAAUAGGACAAAAAUCAUGAUUGUGACCAAACCGUAUAUUUAUAAAUACAGAGCACUAAGGCAAAGGAAUAAAAGAGAGUAGAGCAUGAGAAUUGUGAGGGAGAACACGAGAAUUACAGAAAAUCCUUGUAAGUCUGCAACCAGACAUUAAAAAAUGAAAACUACAAGAUUCAUUACAUCAAAAGGAAGAAAACAUAGAAGAAUAAUAUGAGAUCUUAUUAACCUUGUGUCUUGGAAACAUGGACAUGUCAAUAAAAUCUAAAUGCACAGGUAUUUGACAGGUAUGACAAAGCCGUACUUCACAGACAUCUAGUCUUGUGUUUUGUACUCUAUAAAUUAAUAUUGUUGGGACUAGAAAAUUUAAUUAAUUUAGAGAGUUAUUAUUUAAUCGAUAAAUUAAUAAUUUAUUAAUUUAAAUAGUGUUUUUCUAUUCGGUGAACAUAAAUUUAAUUACAUUAAAAUUAUUUCAUUUUAUUGAUAUUUAUAUCAUACUUUUUUUGAUGCAAUAUAUCAUGCUUAUUAAAUUAAUGUAUCACACUUGUGAGGAUAAUACAAUACCUUUGGAGCCAAUAACGCGAAAGGAAGCACUCAUAGCGUCAACAACUUUUUAAAAGUUUUUAUUACAAUUCGAGAAUGCAACACUUGAACUUUUGGACGCAAUGAAAAAAAUUAAGAAUGAAAUUCAAUUAGAUUUGAAUUACAAGACAAAACAAACGAGAAUAGAAUCCUAUUUUACAAUAUUACCCUAGAUAUAUUCGUAAUUUAAAAGAAUUAUUAAUUUAUGAUUUUGAUGGGACCAUAUAUUUAUAUAAGGGUCUUUUUAAAAAUUAUUAUUUUAUCAAAAUUAUUAAUUUAUCCCAUUAACCCAAGUCGAGACUGGAAAAAAAAAUAUUAUUUUAGAGAGAUUAUUAAUUUAUCGAGUAUUAAUUUAUAGACUCCAUGUUUCCAUUGUCCAUAUGCAAAUUCUUCAUUGUGAAUUGUAACAUGUUCCUGGCACACUAUAAAGCACUAACCAAUAUGAGACUAAUAAAGUUCGACUAAAAGACAAUUAGCAUCCCAAACUUUACACCCAUGUUGAUUUUUGCACCCCAAACUAAAAAAGGUGUCUAAGUACACCCCAAACUUCAAUUAAACGUAACAGAAAGCACACUUUCAUCAGUUAACCGGUCAAAAGUGACCGGCUAAGGCUGUAAUAAUGUUUAAUACAUAGGGGUAAGCUUGGUAGUUUACAUUUAUUGCAAAUUGCAGUUACAUUUACACUGGAUAUUUACUCAUGUUGGUUAUCAGACAAAUAUCCCCAAAUCAGUUGGGCUAGGGUUCGCAAUUUGAAGGAGAAGCGGAACAAUGAGUGAUUCGCGAUUCUUGAGGGAUUCAGAAGACAAUGACGUUUAUGGAGUGAAGGGUGUCCUAGAAUACCGUAAGUACUUCAAAGAAUAUCUUGAAUAAUGGGUUGGUGUCGCCUUGCUGUAUUCUUUUUGUAGUUUAUUGUGUUUUUUUGUAGUUUAUUGACUUCUUUUUGUUGUAAACUGGAAUGGUAUCCAUCAUUGAAUAGUAUACAGCUGGGUAGUGGACCCUUUUGAUGAUCAAAUAUAAGAUUCUUUACUCUUUUCUUAAAAUUUUUGGAUUUUAGUCAAUUAAAUAUGAUGUGGUCCACACAUUUAACUGACAGUAUUUACUUUGUGUUUGUCGCUAUGCAGGCAAUAAGGAGUAUUUUACAGUCAAAUUUUUUCAUGGUGGACACUUUGAAGAGAGCCCACAUAAACAGUACGUGGGAGGUACUUUUAAUUUUUUUGAUUUCUGUCAUCCUGAUUACAUCUCUUUACUUGAUAUAUGUAACAUGAGGAAUGAGUUAGGAUAUCAAGUUGGACACCUAAAGUUCCAUUAUAUUCAAUUGAUAUGGAGAGGGGAUUAUAGGAGUUAGAAAAUGAUGAUGUUUUAACAAUGUGUUUGCUUAUCCCUUUUAGGACUAAUUGAAAUAUAUUUGGAGGUGAUUAGACCUGUGGGAGUAGAAGCUGACUUUGAAGUUGAAGGUGAUAAUAUUAAUGAAUGCAGAGAUUUGAUAUCAAUUGGGGAUGAUGAAAUAGAGUCAACUGAUGAAAGUUAUGUGGAUAGUUCUGUGGGAGAAUCAAAUGAGGAUGAAGAGGAUGAUGUAAUUGGGGAGCGGGAUGAGGGUGAUCAUACUGGGGGGGGGGACUGAGAGUGAUGAAUUUGGGGAGGGGGUAGAGGGUGAUCAAACUGGGGGGGACUGAAGAUGGGGUAGAGGAUGAUCAGACUAGGGAGACUGAGAAUGGGGCAAAUGGUGAUCAGACUAGGGGGACUGAGGAUGGGGCAACUAACAAAGGGAAGGGAAGGGUGCAACUGUAACACAUAAAGGCAAAGGCAAAGGAAAAGGAACAAGAUUUGCCACUAACAAAGGGAAGGGAAAACAAACUGCAAAAACCCAAACUUCACAAGAAGAACCACAUGAACCAGGAUUUUCAUCAUAGUCAGAUGACUCUGAUGUGGAAAGGAUGCCUAGGGUUGAUGAGUUUGACCCUGAACCACCUGAACAAGAACAUAAAGGGUAUCCAAAAUUUAGGGAAGGUGUCAUAGAGGAUCCAAAGUUUGAGUUGGGAAUGACAUUUACCAAUGUCACUGAAGUGAGGGCAACAAUCAGAAAUCAUGGCAUCAGACAAGGAAGGUGUAUUUCAAGAACCUGUCAUAUAAGAUCCAUGUAAAGUGUGUGGAGCCAUGUACAUGGUACUUUUAUGAUGCAAAGGUGCAAAGAGAGCUCACAUUUGAAAUCACUAGGUUACAAAAAGUGCAUACUUGUUGCAGAGAGGGGGAUAAUUAUUGUAUAAAUGCAGAGUGGAUUGCCAAAAAAUAUGAAGAUGAUCUUCGAAUGAAUCCAACAUGGGGAUUAGAUCAGUUUCAUACUAAAGUAGUUAAAGACUUGGAUAUUGGAUUAUAAAGGAGCCUAAUAUACAGAGCUCAGAAAAGAGCAAUGAAAAACAUUGAAGGGAGUGCUGAGGAGGAGUAUGGAUUGGUUUUGGACUAUGCUGCAAAGCUUAGAAGAGUCAUGCCUGGGAGUACUUGUGUCUUGAAGAGAGCAGGGACAAGACUUAGGCAGAUUUUUGAGAUUUUAUGUCUGUCUGCAGCCACUAAAAGAAGAAUUUAAAUUGGGGUGUAGACCAUUGGUGGGGCUUGAUGGUUGUUUUCUCAAAGGACCAUAUAAAGGUCAGUUAUUGACUAUAGUUGGUGUUGACCCUAACAAUGGGAUGUGGCCAGUUGCUUGGGCCAUUGUUGAAUCUGAGAACACUCAGUCUUGGGUGUGGUUUAUGAACUUGCUGGUGGAAGAUCUUGGGAUUGCAAAUGAUGGAGGCUGGACAUUCAUUUCAGAUAAACAAAAGGUAUAAACAUCUCUCCAUUUAUAUAUAUUUUAUUCCAUCAAUUAUUACAUUGAUUGCAUGUUUCUGAUAAAUUACCUCUUUGUCCCUAGGGUUUGAUUAAUGUUUUAGAAGAUGUGGUCCCAAGUGCUGAACACAGACAUUAUGUUAUGCAUUUAUAUAGGAACUUUUGGCAAAAACAUAAAGGCUCUGAAUUAAGAAAAUUGGUUUGAAAUGCUGCCAAAGCUACAAAUCCGUGUCUUUCAAAAGGCAAUGGAGGUGUUAAAAAAAGAAAGAUAAGAGUGCAUAUGAAUGGUUAGCUCCUAAGCUACCUACUCAGUGGAGUAGGUCUCAUUUUCAGACCAUAUGCAAAAGUGACAUGUAUGUCAAUAACCAUUGUGAGGUAUUUAAUAGAAAAAUUCUUAAGGCUAGAGUGAAACUAGGGUGUCUAAAAGGACUUAGAUUAUAUUGCAUGAAUAGGAUUGUUAAAAGGAGAGAAAUGAUGUUGAAACAUAAUGUAGUGUGCCCUAGAAUAGCUAAAAAGGUAGAAAAAUGGAAAGGUCAGGUAGGGGUGGAUUGUCAUUGUGGUCAGGUGGUGGUGGGAGGUUUACAGCGACUAUGACUUCUGGGGGUUAUUCAUUUGUGGUGGAUUUGGCGAAUAAAACAUGUACUUGUAGGAGGUAGGAUUUGUCUGGAAUACCUUGUGCUCAUGCUAUGUCAUGCAUUAACAAAAUAGAACAUGAUGUACACGAGUGUUUAACCAAGGACAUGUAUCUAAAGGUUUACAGUCACAACAUUGAGCCUAUAAGGCACAGAUCUGAGUGGGAUCCUACUGGGAUUGAGCCACCUUUGCCACCAGUUAAACAUACUCAAGUAGGCAGGCCUAAAGUUGUUAGGAGGAAAAGUAAUGAUAUUACAUAAUCAAAUCCAGAAGGUACAAGUUUGAAGAGAAAAGGAACAUUAUUGAAAUGUAGAUUUUGCAAGGAAUGGGGUCACAAUUCAAGAAGGUGUCCUCAAGUAAGUUAAGUGUGUUUUUAUUUAUGUGCUUUUUCAAGAUCCUAUAUUGGGUUUAAUACAUUUCUUUUUGUCUGUUUUUAGAAACUGAAUAAGCAGCCAGAUGUGAUUUCACAAUCUUCACAGGCUCCAUAAAGUCAAUCAUCUCAACCUCCUCCAAAGGCUAAGAGGGCUAAAAAGGUUACUCAAGCUUCUCAACCUCCAUCAAUGACAGCAACACAUGAGUCUACAAUGGAGCCAGGUGGAAUGAAUGUUGAGCAAGAGCAAGCAGGAGGUUCUACAAAGUGGCAAGGUGGAAUCCAUUAUGAGGGUAGACAAAGAAAUGACUCAAAUGAUAUAUUACAACCCAAAGAAUACACAUGGAAGGGAAAACAAUAUACAACACCAGGAGACCUAGAAGCUGUAACAAGAUCUAAAAGAGAGAAAAUUCAGUUUAGGAAACCAAACAGUGAAGGGCCUACUACAAAUAAAUAGUGUUUGGAUGGGAUUUUUGGAAUCUUUUUGUUCUUUUUUGGGGUACUAAGCUUAUGAAUUAUUGAUGUAUAUAUCCAGUUUAGGGUAUUUUUUGGGGACUACUGUAGAUAAUUGCUCCUAAGCUUAUGAAUUAUUGAUGUAUGUAUGUUGCCUAGGGCCAAGAAGGUGUGGCUGGGAUUGUAAAUUGCAGUGUAUGAUGCAUUUUGUUAAUAGGCAUGUUAAGACAACUGUUUUGAAUUGCCUCUGAUUUGUGGAAUGUACUGGGAAUUAAUUACUUAAUUGAAUGGCAAUAGCAGUUCCUCGAAGUUUAUAACAGUUUGGUUUUCUAUUGAAUUGUUUUUAUUUAGAGCAGUUUGAUUAGAACAUUUUUUACCAUUGUGUGGUUAUUAUAACAGUUGGGUAAUUGCAAUGUAUGAUGCAGUAUGGUUUGUGCAUUAAAGCAAGGAUUGCUAUUAUAGCAGUAUGGUUUUGAAUUGCCUCUGCUUUUUGUUAAUUGAAUGGUAAUAAAAGCUUACAACAUUAAUGUUGAGCUUAAUUGAAUUGCCUCUGGUAAUUGAAUGCCUAUGUUUUGUGCAUUAAUGCAGGGCUUGCUAUUAUAGCAGUAUGGUUGGUGUGCAAGUGAUGUGCAACAGAUAUCAUAACUUGCACACCAACCAUUUUACUGUAAACUUGCACCAAUUCACACAUGCACAAUAAUAAAAAUUUAACAGGUUUACAUAACUAUUGAUUCAUAGAAAGUGCCAUAAAUUACAACCAAUAAACUUCCCACAAAAUAGAUGCCCAGCAAUUACAUUCCAUAUUACUCCUAAUUUCUACUACUAUAUUGCUUAAUUGUCAAUCCCAUAAAUUCCAUUCCCAGUAAUUGCCCACAAGUUGUUUGUUUUCAAGUCUAGAGGGGUGUUUCAUACUUUGUUGAGAUGAACAUGAAAUAGAAAAUCAAAACCCAAGUUGCAGUCAACAGACCCUUUGCAGACCUUGCCCUAUAUCUACACUCUUUUAAUUAUCUUUUAGAGCUUUGAAUUCAGCAUCCAAAUUAUCUAAUCUUCUAAUUAAUCCAGGUAUUACUUCCCUUGAACGCUCACACAUCGGAGGAUCAACCCAAGCGAAGAAAUUACAACCAUCGUGCCCAUCUUCACACCAAUCUGAACAACCAAGGAAUCUUCUCCCGGCAUUGUUUGAGCUUCUCCAAGCCGUCUUCAUCUCUGAUUUCUUCAUGCACCAGCAAUUUCAAUCCAUGAUCCCUAAUUUUUCUUGAUUUUCUUGAUUGAAUUUCUUGGAUUUACAAUCUAAUCGAGCUGCACGUAUGCUACUGAAUCACUUUGAGCUUUAGUAGCUUGUUCCAGCUCAAUGUUGGAGAAUAUAAGAAGGAAAAGACUUAAACACCCCUCCAGAUCCACAUGUGUGCCUUAACCGGUCACUUUUGACCCGUUAACUGAUGAAAGUAUGCUUUCUGUUACGUUUAAUUGAAGUUUGGGGUGUACUUAGACACCUUUUUCAGUUUGGGGAACAAAUUGUCUUUUAGUCGUAAAGUUCAAAUGUUGAGAUACAAAUUUACUCUAAUAUAUAAUUCACAAUUUUUAAUAAUUAGAGACAAUGUUCAGAUCAUGAUGCUAAAUUCACGAGUGUUCUUGGAAAUCGGAAAGUCUCCAUGGGUUACAGACAAUUAGAGUACAAGUUAUAUACAAUGUAAAAUGAGUGAAAGCGUCUCGGAAAAGAGUACUAAAGCGUACUGUAAACCUAAACAUCAAACCGGCUAAACCUACCCCCACAUACUGUUAUACAGGUAAGUUGACAUACCGCGUCCCCAUACUCGUACCACAUACCAAAACACACCCAUAGUUGUCACGUCGCCACGACGAGACACCCAUAGUUGUCACGGCGCCUAGGCGAUAAGGCGCCCGCCAUGGCAUCGAAGAGGCUGGUUUUCUUUUUCGAGCAAAUUUGGGUGUGCGCUCUACUUGUUCUUCGGGCUCUUCGUCAGAAAUAACGAUUUCAACCGAGGUGAUUGGCGGAAGAUCGGUUUCUGUGGGAUGUACUUGUGGUUCUUCGGCGGCUGGAGGAGUUAGGUGGAUUUUCCUCUUUUUAGCACGAAGGACUCAGGUCCGUUCGUCAAGGGGCAUAUCGAGGAGGCACUUGUUGUAAGUUUGUAUGGGGGUGUGUUUGGGUUUUUAGCCAGCUCGCUUUCUUCGGCGAGGUUGGCUUGUCCCUUCAGUGGCUGGCUCGGUGACUUGAGCUUCUGAAGUUGAAGGCUCUUCGGUUGGUACUUCAGUAGGGGUCGGUGAAGAUGAACCCGAAAGGAAUCUGUCUAGAUCCCUUCGGUCAAUCGACGUCGAUUUGAUCAGAGACACUGCGAAAGAUGAAGAACAAUCAUUUAGAAUAAUUACUGAUGGAAAUUGGUAAAGUUAUACAAUAAAUUGGGUUCAGGACUUAAAUUUAUGGUCGUAUAACCAUGCUUGUUUGCUCAGAAGUCCAAAGCUCCAUUCCUUGAUGGGAAUCUUCUCUAAAACUCGCCAUUUCUCUUACACGUUCCUUUGAAAUAUCUCUGAUGUUUGCAGAGAUGCGAUCAAAAAUGGUCCAGUCGGGUAUGGAGGAGACUCCAGGUCCUUUGACAAAGAACCACUCCUUAUGCCAUCCCUGGUAGCUCGAAGGAGUGUCCAUCAGAGGUCGCUUCUCGAACCUGGCAUUAGGUUUGGGGGAUUGUUUGCUCAGCAUCUUGAAGCCUCGUUCCCGAGAUUUACUGGCUAUGAAGAGGGUAAAGAAGAAAUCGAUAGCAGGUGGAAUCCCUUGUUCGUGGCAGAAGACGAUAAAUGCCAAGAUGUGGAUGUAGGAGUUCGGGAAAAGCUGGGCAAGUCCCAUGCCUACGAACCCUAGUAGAGUAAUAACGAAGGCAUGGAAGGGUAGGCGAACUCCCUUUUCGAGAAGGGUCACCGGCAUGGCGGUCCAGCCUUCGGGUCUCUGAUACAUUCGUUCCUGCGGAGCUGGAGCCCUUACCAGAUGGGGAUCCGAAAUAUGGUAGCGGGUCCGAAGGUUGCGCAACUCAAUCUCAGUGAUAGUGGAAGGGGUAUUGGUAUGAGGAAAGUAUUCUUCACUCUUGAAGAAUUCUGAAGGAUUUUGUGGUGGAUUCUUGCUAGGAGUAGCAACAGAUUUGGGGUUUGGACCUGAAGCUUCUUUGAUAGGGCUUGGAGGAAUAGAGGUGAUGGGAGUCACAGAGAGGGGAACCUCUUCGCCGAAAGUUUGAGAAGCCAUGAAUGUUGAUUUGCAGGAAGAAAGAGAAAUCUGGAGGAAGAAGGCGGGAGACGUCUGAAAUUCAUAUUGGCAGGUAAAACUGUCAAAUUUGGGAAAAGGCAGUUUUUAUACUGACGGACUCUUCAAUUUUUCACGAAGUUCGAGGGCGGCACCUUAAAUGGAGGCAAUGAUGGUGAAUUUGAAGGGGUGGCGUCUGAUUUUGGUCUUAAGAUAUUAACCGGAUUGGGAUUCUCAAUUGGGCUUCCGGUUGAGAUUUACCAGUUGGGCCUCGGUGAGUUUCAUUUUGGGCCUCUGAUUAAUCUUAUCAUGAUUCCUUUUAUCCUAGACCAAUGACAUUUAUACUCUUUCAUUAAACAUCCUGUUUAAUAAAAGACUGGGGGGCAAUGUUUGGCCAUAAUACUUUAGACAUGUUGGGUGGGUCUUGAAAGUAUUGGGUCGGUUCAUUGGGUGGAUAAUAUCUUUAUAUGGGGCCAAUGGAGCAUUGGGUCGAGACAGUGGGCCGAACCAUUGGAUGAGUAUGGUUCCACUUGGGCUUUGACCGGUGAUGAUUAUGGGGUUAAACUUUGACUGUCAUCUCUGUAUUUUAUUUAAUGAGGAUUGGACAGGGCCUAGUCGGUGGAAGGCUGUGGGCCAGGAGAGGUCUAUUGCAUACAGGACAAACCGGGAUUAGAGUAUAUGAGGACAAGGAUAACACACAAUGGAAGGAAACUGAUCAUUUUCUCUCUCAAGACUCUAGAUAUUUUAUUCCUCCAUUGUUAAACCUUGUGAUCGCAUGUACCGACUCUCAGGCCGGAGCUAUCACCUGACGGUCCAAGCCGUUAAGCUUCUGGUAUUGACGUGUUUAUUGUGCAGGAUUAGACGCGUGUUACGUGAUUGAGGCGCGUGGAAAGAUCUUGGCGUUAACAGUAACAAAACGCACACUUUCUUCACUUAACUGGUCAAAAGUGACCGGCUAAGGCUGUAACACAAGUUUGGGGUGCAAAUUGUCUUUUCGUCUUAAAAAUUGACAAAAAUAAAUAAUUUUAAAUAAAAUAAAAUAAUUAAUUAUAAAUAAAAAAAUUAAUUUUAAAAAUAAAAAUAAAAUAAUUAAUUUUAAAAUAAAAUAAUUAAAAUAAUAAAAUUAUAAUAAAUAUUUGGAAUUAAUGAUUAAUAAUUAAUCAUUAACUUGUAAAAUGAUUAUUUUAUUUUAUUUUCAAAAUUAAUUAUUAAUCAUUCCGGUUAAAAAAAUCAUUAACUUGUAAAAAAAUCAUUUUUGCCACAAAAAAAAAUUCUAUUUUUGUUUUUAAAAACAAAAUUUUGUAAAAACAAAAUUUUUAAAAAUAGAAUUUUUUUUAAAACAGAAUUUAUCAAAAACAGAAUUUUAUUUUAUAAGUUAAAAAAAAAUUUGUUUUUGUUUUUUAAAACAGAAUUUUUUUUAAAACAAAAAAUUUAAAAACAGAAUUUUGUAAAAAUAGAAUUGUUUUAAAACAAAAUUUUUUAAGAACAUAAUUUUAUUUUACAAGUUAAAAAACCAAUCUGUUUUUGUUUUAAAAAACAGAAAUUAUUUUUAAAACACAAUUUUUUAAAACAUAAUUUUAUUUUACAAUGGAGAGAGAGAUUAAUAAAAUGUUUACAUAUAAAAUUCUGUUUAAAAAAAAUCUGUUUUUAAAAACAAAAACAGAAUUUUUUUUAACUUGUAAAAUAAAAUUCUAUUUUUUAAAAUUUUUGUUUUAAAAAAAAUUGUGUUUUUACAAAAAUCUGUUUUUAAAAACAAAAAUAGAAUUUUUUAUUAACUUGUAAAAUAAAAUUCUGUUUUUGAAAAAUUCUAUUUUAAAAAAAUUUCUAUUUUUAAAAAUUUUGGUUUUACGAAAUUCUGUUUUUAAAAACAAAAACAAAUAUUUUUUUUAUGUGGCAAAAAUGAUUUUUUACAAGUUAAUGAUUUUUUUAACCUGAAUGAUUAAUAAUUAAUUUGAAAAAUAAAAAUAAAAUAAUCAUUUUACAAGUUAAUUAUUAAUUAUUAAUCAUUAAUUCCAAAUAUUUAUUUUAAUUUUAUUAUUUUAAUUAUUUUAUUUUUAAAUUAAUUAAUUAUUUUUUAUUUUUAUUUUUAAAAUUAAUUAUUUUAAAAUUAUUUCAUUUUAUUUAAAAUUAAUUAUUUUUGCCAAUUUUUAAGACAAAGACAAUUUGCACCCCAAACUUGUGUUACAGCCUUAGGCGGCAACUUUUGACCGGUUAAGUGAAGAAAGCGUGCGUUUUGUUACAUAUAAUGAAGUUUGGGGUGUACUUAGACAUCUUUUUAAGUUUGGAGUGCAAAAGUAAAUAGAAAGUGAAGUUUGGGGUGCAAAUUGUCUUUUAGUCCACAAGUUAUUUAGACUACGAAAUAUUUGAUAUUGGAAUUGAUUAUUUCAUUCAUACUGUAGAGGUAUUUUAUCUAUCUUGGUGUUGAUACGUGGAGUUGAUACACUUGAGAGAUCCUAGUGGUUUACUUAUAAACUUUCCUUACUGUCUUUGGUCUAGUGCUGGCGCUGCUGUGCCAGCUUCCCUUCUCUAUGCCGCGCUGCGGCGUCACACUUCAGUGGCUGAUGUCCGGACUCGGCGCUGCGCCGCGAGUCUUAGUUCAGUUGGCUGUGCUGCGACGCGGAAUUUCAAGAGGUUAUGGCAUUUCUCGGCGCUGCAACGCCACCUAUUUGGCCUUGGGCUGGCGUCGCGACGCCAACUCUGUGCACCAGAAACUUUUGACAGAUUUUAAACUUUGUGAAAUUUCCGGACUCCAAAUUUGAUCAUUUCAAGUCCGAAUUGGCUCGUUCAAAAGCCAAUAGCUCACAAAUCACAUACUCUACGUGUUCAUGCAAGAAUUUUACAUUUUCGACUUCGUUAACUCAAAAUUCACCUUUUAGUUCAUUUUAACGAAAACGAUAAACGUUCGUGAACGUUCAACGCUCGUUUCUUCGUUCUAAAUCGGAAUUCGGUCAUUUUCGAGUCUGCAACUCUAUAAUGACAAAUAAGACUUGUUCCCAUCGAAAACCAACGUUUCCAAGCUUAAUAUCAAAAUUUGACUUUCAUUCCGAGAAUUUCAUGAAUUCGACGAUUAUCGUCUAAUCGUGUGAAUUUCGGCAUAACUUCGUUACUUAUGAUUUGUUCAUCGUUUAAAAUGGAUUCUUUCCAUCAUACUAACAUCUGAACAUACAUAUGUCAUUAACUUAUAUACAUGAUAAGUUUCUUACUUAUUCUCUCUUAGUUCAUAACUUAUCAACUUAUGAUUUCACUUCACAUGAUUUAUCAUGAUUUUAAUCUUCUAACCAUCAUCCUCACACCUCCUUAUCAUACAAAUUUUAUUCAUGUAAACAUAUUACAAGUUCUUCCUUAGUUCAUAACUUAUAUAUGAAUGAAUUGCUUAUUCUUGGCUUAUUAAGGUUUAAGUCCUUUGAUUAACCAUUCUCUUUACUUCCUAGCAUACAUACUUCACUAAUCCACACUUCUCUAUCAAACUAGUAUUGAAGAGUUGGAAGAUUAAUGAUAUAAGAGUCUUACCCUUGAUGAUCAAGCUUGUUCUUCUUCUUUUCUACUAAUGAAUGUCUAGCUUAUUCUUACUUAUUCUCUCUAACAAAUAAGUUGAAAGUUGUUGGAUGAAAUGAACAAGUGUAAAAAUGAUCCAACUAUCCCUCUAUUUAUAGGAUUGCUAAGGUUAGGGUAUAUUAGUCAAUAAACAUCCCACCUCCUUAACAACCUCCUUACUAUUCCUUACUUGGUCAUUAAGUUUACUUGGCCUCCACAAAUCUUAUCUCUUGCUUGGCCACCAAGAUCACCCAUGUGAUCAUGGGUUACCCAUGGGUCAUGCAUACCCAUGGAUUCUUAGUUUGGGCUUAAGGUUUAAAUAACAUAACUUAUACUUUGGGCUUGCAUUAAACUAACAUUAGCUUGUUCAUUAACAAACACUUGGGCUUUAACAUAAUUUCCAUUGGACUUUACAACUUCCUCCUAUAUCCUACAAGUCCAUUACAUAUGGCUUUAAGCCUUAUAACGUAUUGUCUACGUAUUAAUCUCGUAUUCCAACUCGUAUACUCAUUUAUCAUAUACGACAUACCAUCAUUCACACAUACUCGUAUAAUACCUCGUAUUAUACUCGUAUUCAUUACCUCGUACAUAUCCUACGUAUCAUACGAUCAUCGCUUUAACUCAUUAACGUUUCACUUUCCCUAACGUUCUCGAAUUAAGUCCGCGUGCGAAAAAGUUCAUUUUCCAUACUCGAAUUAUUAUUACAUAAUCCAUCUUCCCUUGAUAUUUUAUUAUUACGUAUUUCUCGGAAGUUCAAAAAUAAUUCCCGAGCAGAAAUGCGUGAAUAGUGUUUUUCGAAAAAUUUCUCGGAAAGCUUUUAUUUUCGUCUUGAAAAUUCAAACACUUUAAUUCCUUCACGUAGCCAAAAUACUACGACGUUCCAACAUAUCUAGGUUAUAGAAUGACAUUCAUCUUACUAACACAUAAUAACAUAUAAUAUAAUUUUAUUCAUUAUUUAAUUAAAUAAAAUUAUUUUACAAUAAAUCUGAAUUUCUCAGUCGUUACAUUAACAAUGAUUGUUUUGGUGCUUUGCCUGUCUAUCCUGUGAUUUGGAGUGUUGUAUAAUCCUUUGAUAUCAUUUGGAAAGUUUAUUCUCCUUGGUAUAGAUUGUAUCUCCCUAUUAAUACCAUUUUAUGGCGGAACAAAAUGGUGCUAACAGUGAGGUUCAGAACAGUAGAAUGGAACAACAAGGCUUGUUUAAACUCUUAAUGUAGCAUUGGCUCUCAGCCCUUUUAAACUGGAUGGAACCAACUAUUUAGCAUGGUCUCGAGCAUGUCACAUGCCAAUUGAGGCCAAUCGUAUGCAACACUUCAUCAAUGGAACAACCACUUUGCUUGAGAAGGGUUUGCCCCAAGAAGAAUGGAAAUCUAAUAAUUUUAUGGUAAAAACAUGGAUUUUUAAUUCCAUGUAACCUAGCAUGAGGAGUAGUUACAUGUUCUUAGACACUGCCUAUGAGCUUUGGGAAGCUAUCUCUUAAACUUUCUCUGUUUCUGGUGAUAUGUCUAAGGCAUAUGACAUUCAUAAAAGAAUUCGUGAGCUAAGUCAAGGGAAGAGGACUGUGGCUCAAUAUUUUGCAGAAAUUAAUGCUCUUUGGCAAGAGCUUGAUAAUUACCGGGUUUUUUCAGCCAAAUGUCUAAAAGAUGCAACUGCUUAUCAAAAGUUUGUUAGUGUAGAUAGAGUUGUGGAUUUCUUAGCAGGUUUGAAUAUAGAAUUUGAUCAAUUUCGAGCACAGUUGAUUGAUCAGACACAUUUUCCAUCACUUCAAGAGGCUCGUGCCAGAGUCCAACAAGAGGAAACUAGGCGUUGAGUGAUGGUUCUAAAUUUUGUUGAUCGAUCAUCCAUGGUUGCUUUGUAUCCUAAGUUUGGCUCCACCAUUUAGUCUCUUGUUGAGAAGGAAUCCCGCGAAUGUGACUAUACAAGGGAUCGUUGUUUUAAGCUUCAUGGACGUCCUAAAAGACGAGGAGGUCGGUUUAGUAGUGUUCGUGUUCGUGGAUCUCAAGCCUAUGCGACUACUAUAACACUUCCUAUUGAUGCAUCCAGUGCUUCAGACACUACCACUGCACUUGCUCCUGAGGAAAUCUCAGCUUUUCGAAAAUUCUAUUCCAAAUCUACUUCUCAUUUUGAUCAGUCAGGUAUACAUUCUUGUUCUUUUAAUGUUUAAUCGAUUUGCCCUGUUUGGAUCAUUGACACAGGUGCUUCUGAGCAUAUGACUGGAUCCUCCACCCUCUUUACUUCAUACACGUCUUGUUCUGAAAAAGACGAGGUUCGCGUAGCUGAUGGUUCCCUCUCUUCUAUCUCUGGGAGAGGCUCUGUAGUUUGUACUCCUUCAUUGACAUUAUCAUCUGUUCUCGAUAUUCCUUCAUUUACUGCAAAUUUGUUAUCUAUUCAACAGCUUUCUAAAUCCUUAGACUGUUCAGUAACCUUUUUCCCAUCUCAUUGUGUUUUUCAGGACUUGGUGACGGGACAGAACAUUGGUAGUGGUAGUGCAGUUGAUGGUCUCUAUUAUUUAGAUGUUCCCUCGUCUAAUAUGUUCCUUACUCAGACUCUUCACUCUACUUUUGACUCCAGCAUGACUUCUCUCCAUCAAUGGAAUUGACGUUUGGGACAUACCCAUUUUUUAUAUUAGAGUCUUUGUUUCCAUCUUUAGUUAAACAAUGUAAUAAAACUCAGUUGUUGUGUGAACCAUGUGAAUUGGAAAAAUACAAACAUUUUGUUUAUUCUGCUAUUAACAGUCGACAUUCUGAAUCUUUUGUUACAUACAUACUGAUGUGUGGACCCUCUCGGGUUGUUUCUCAUUCUGGUCAUAGAUGGUUUGUUAGCUUUAUUGAUUGUCAUUCUCAUGUCACUUGAAUUUAUCUUCUUCGUUCCAAAGAUGAGGUAUUUGAUUGUUUCCAGUAAUUGCAUAAAAUGAUUCAAACCCAAUUUAAAGCUAAAGUAAAGAUUCUCCAUAGUGAUAAUGGUCGUGAAUAUAGUAAUAAUAAUGCUUUUGCAUCUUAUCUCUCUCAGCAUGGCAUUAUUCUUUAAACCUUCUAUGUCAACUCCAUAACAAAAUGGAGUAGGGGAAAGAAAAAAUCGACAGUUACUAGAGGUAGCCCGUACUCUUAUGUUCACUACGAACACACCUAAAUUUCUAUAGGGAGAUGUUCUGACUGCUGCAUUUCUAAUAAAUCGAUUUCCUUCUAGAAUUCUUGGGAACAAAAGUCCAUUCUCUUUUCUCCAACACACAACAAGUUAUUCUCCUUCGCCUCGAGUUUUUGGUUGUGUGAUAUGUUCAUGAUAAAUCUUCCGCUCAGGGAAAAUUAGAUCCCAAUCUCAUCAGUGUGUUUUUAUUGGUUAUUCUCCAACCCAAAAAAGUUAUAAAUGUUAUCAUCCUCCUUCACACAAAGUCUGUCACUCGGGAUGUAACUUUUUGAGAAUUGAAACCUUUUUAUUCUUUUUCACCUUCUCCUCAAGGGAUGUUAUUGAUGAGGAGAAACUUCCUAUUGAGGCUGGCAUUACAAGUUCUAUUAUACCAUCUCCUGUUUCUGUUGUUUCUGAUAAUUCUACACAGGGGGUUAAAGUUACAAGAGUCAUGCUAGACAGAAUGAGCCCGAGUUUGAGAACCUAUGUUCGAAGCGGCAAGAAUAAGGUCACCAUUUCUAUACCACUACACCAACCCUGCUCAGAACCUAGUCUGAUAAUGUUAAUUGUGAGUAUCUUAACACUACUUGUUCUUCUGAUGAUAUUGACAUUCAUAUUUCUCUUAGAAAAGGGGUUAAAGCUUGUACUCAACAUCCUAUCUCUAAUUUCUUAGCCUAUAAUAAAUUAUAUGCAUCCUACCACUCCUUUGUUUCUUCUUUGUUUCAAUAUAUGUACCUCAGGGGUGGAGAGAAACAAUUAGUGAUGAGAAUUAGAAACAAGCUAGAGGAGAUGAAUGCCCUGAAAAAGAAUGAUACAUGGGAACUAGUUUCUCUUCCUUACGGGAAAAAACUAGUUGAUUGAAAAUGAGUAUAUACAGUCAAACAGAAGUCAGAUGGGACAGUUGAGAGACUCAAAGUCAGGCUAGUUGCAAAAGGGUACACUCAAACUCAUGGAAUUGAUUACUAAGAGACAUUUUCUCAUGUGGCGAAGAUGAACUCUGUUCGUACAAUAAUCUCAUGUACAAUAAACUUUGGUUGGGAUAUACAGCAAUUGGAUGUGAAAAAUGUGUUCCUUCAUGGUGACUUGGAGGAGGAAGUAUACAUGAAAAUACCUUCUGAUUUUGCUUCAUCUGUCACCAAGGGUAAGGUGUGUAAACUGCGAAAGGCUUUAUAUGGUUUGAAACAAUCUCCCGGAGCCUGGUUUGGUAGAUUUCACAAAGCAAUGAUAAGAUUUGGGUACAAGCAGUCAAGCAGAUCAUACUCUAUUUGUCAAACAGAUAAAAGGUAAGACUACCAUUCAACUACCAUUCUUAUCGUUUAUGUUGAUGACAUUGUGGUGACAUGGGAUCAUAGAGAAGAGAUAGCUAAUCCCAAAGAGAAUCUAGCUAAAGAGUUUAAGAUUAAAGAUCUUGGUCUUUUGAAAUAUUUUCUCGGUAUCAAAGUUGGAAGAUCUUCCUGUGGGAUUUUUCUAUCUCAAAGGAAGUAUUUCCUUGAUCUUUUAACAGAAACUGACAUGUUGGGAUGUAAGCUUGAUGAUUCUCCUAUUGAAGUUAAUCAUCAUUCAGUAGGUGGCACAGGACCUACAGUUGAUAGAGAAAGAUAUCAACGUUUGGUAGGACGAUUGAUAUACAUUUCUCAUACUAUACCUGAUAUAUUUUAUGCUAGGGGAAUAGUGAGUCGGUAUAUGCAUGACCCUCGACAUUGUCACAUGGAAACUGUUUACAGAAUUCUGAGAUAUCUCAAGUCUGCUCCUGAAAAAGGUUUAUUGUUCACACCACGCGGUCAUAUGAGAGUUCAAGUUUUUUUCGACUCAGAUUAGGCUAGCUCUAUAGAGGAUCGUCGUUCUACGUCAGGUUACUGUUCAUUUGUUGGAGGUAAUCUUGUUACUUCUUACUGCCCGUGGUGACAAGAUCCAGUGUUGAGGCUGAAUAUCGAGUUAUUGCCUUGGGUAUAUGUGAACUAAUGUGACUUCGAACCUUGCUAGAAGAUUUGGGUGUUACAACUAAAAUGCUUAUGUAGAUAAUAAGGUAGCUAUUAGUAUUGCAAACAACCCAGUACAGCACGAAAGAACAAAGUACAUUGAGAUUGACAGACACUUCAUCAAAGAAAAGUUAACUAUUGGAGUGUUAUGUUGAUGGUAACUAGCAAAGUUAUGGUUCAACUAAGUCCAUCCUGUAUUACUAUGAAAACAUUUUAAUACUCCACCCAACCUCCAAAGAAUGGCUCGAGUGUGAAGAAAAAAUGUGUCCUCAAAAGCAUGUGUAUGACUAAGUACAAAAUUCAAAGGUAAAAAGUGGAAAAAAAGAAAAUAAUACCCCGUACUUGUAAUAUAAUUAUACGGAGUCCAAUAGUAUUGUAUUAGUCAUAUAAAAGGGAAAAGUUGGGACUUAUUCUAGGCUUUCUCAUCUAAUCUGACAUUAUUAAUUUGUUUGAAGUCCAAUUGCAGAAUAAGUUGAGGUUCAGGUUAAUAAAUAAAAAACAACAGUUCCUGUUCGAAGUUUGGAUGAUUUUCUACAUAGAAAAGACAAACCAAAUGUAAAAUACUAAUUUAACUGAGAUUAGCAAAAGAAUCAUCGCAAUUAAGAAAAGUUGACUAAUUGAGAAUUUUUAGUCUUUUCAAUGAAAGUUUGAAACCUCCUUCUCCAUAAAAUUAAGGGUUUGAAAAUUUAUCAUAAUACAAUACUAAAAGAUAACAAAAAUAUAUAACCAUUGCCUGUUUUAGCACUAAUCUUUGGCGAAAGUUAAAUAAUAGAGAAACAUAAACAUGCAGAGUGCAAAAGGAAUCCCUCCCCCAGUUUUAUCCUCCUUUAAUUUAACCACAAUAACUGCCAUUAAAGAAUCAUUUAUGUGCAUAGGAAUUAGGAAUGUCCAUCACUUGAUUAAGCUGACUCAGUAACAGAAAUUACUCGUAAUUUGAAUUCCAAGAACUUUAUGAAUUAUGAGAAAUCGUCAAAGAAAUUUAACAGCUAGUUAAGGAGUGUAUUACUAAUUACAUACACACGUAGAUGCUGCAAUCUCUAUAUAAUAUAAAGUAAAAGUUUAAAUCACAGGAAAGCAAGGAAGAGCAAAACAAGACAAAAAUAUAGAAAUUUUUUCCUCUUACAUUUAUUCUCAAACCAUCUAUUUCUGUAAAACAUAUCCAAUUUCCUUAUCAUCCAAUGUCUCAACAAAAAAAUAUAGUUAAAAACUUCUCUAAAGAAUACUAACCCGAAAUCUGGAACCUUUGUUUUGAUUAUCAUUUUGAUCAAAUGAUGAAAUGGCACAGUGCUUCUCCAAUAACCAUUUAUGCUGGCAUGAUUGAGCUUUACGUAUCAUAACUUUAAGCAGCUUAAGAAGUGAGUGAUAUCUGGGGCCCAAAACAAUCAAUUCAAAAACUCCUUGAGAAAUUAGAAGAGCAGCUUAACCAACAUGUAAGAGAUUAACAUAAGAUGAAUGGGCAACAAUCAUC
rnacentral:lncRNA from 1 species